AUGAACGCUGGCGGCGUGCCUAAUACAUGCAAGUCGAACGCUUCACUUCGGUGAAGAGUGGCGAACGGGUGAGUAAUACAUAAGUAACCUGGCAUCUACAGGGGGAUAACUGAUGGAAACGUCAGCUAAGACCGCAUAGGUGUAGAGAUCGCAUGAACUCUAUAUGAAAAGUGCUACGGGACUGGUAGAUGAUGGACUUAUGGCGCAUUAGCUGGUUGGUAGGGUAACGGCCUACCAAGGCGACGAUGCGUAGCCGACCUGAGAGGGUGACCGGCCACACUGGAACUGAGACACGGCCCAGACUCCUACGGGAGGCAGCAGUAGGGAAUUUUCGGCAAUGGGGGAAACCCUGACCGAGCAACGCCGCGUGAAGGAAGAAGUAAUUCGUUAUGUAAACUUCUGUCAUAGAGGAAGAACGGUGGAUAUAGGGAAUGAUAUCCAAGUGACGGUACUCUAUAAGAAAGCCACGGCUAACUACGUGCCAGCAGCCGCGGUAAUACGUAGGUGGCGAGCGUUAUCCGGAAUUAUUGGGCGUAAAGAGGGAGCAGGCGGCACUAAGGGUCUGUGGUGAAAGAUCGAAGCUUAACUUCGGUAAGCCAUGGAAACCGUAGAGCUAGAGUGUGUGAGAGGAUCGUGGAAUUCCAUGUGUAGCGGUGAAAUGCGUAGAUAUAUGGAGGAACACCAGUGGCGAAGGCGACGAUCUGGCGCAUAACUGACGCUCAGUCCCGAAAGCGUGGGGAGCAAAUAGGAUUAGAUACCCUAGUAGUCCACGCCGUAAACGAUGAGUACUAAGUGUUGGGAGUCAAAUCUCAGUGCUGCAGUUAACGCAAUAAGUACUCCGCCUGAGUAGUACGUUCGCAAGAAUGAAACUCAAAGGAAUUGACGGGGGCCCGCACAAGCGGUGGAGCAUGUGGUUUAAUUCGAAGCAACGCGAAGAACCUUACCAAGUCUUGACAUCCUGCGACGCACAUAGAAAUAUGUGUUUCCUUCGGGACGCAGAGACAGGUGGUGCAUGGUUGUCGUCAGCUCGUGUCGUGAGAUGUUGGGUUAAGUCCCGCAACGAGCGCAACCCCUGUUGCCAGUUGCCAGCAUUAAGUUGGGGACUCUGGCGAGACUGCCGGUGACAAGCCGGAGGAAGGCGGGGAUGACGUCAAAUCAUCAUGCCCCUUAUGACCUGGGCUACACACGUGCUACAAUGGACAGAGCAGAGGGAAGCGAAGCCGCGAGGUGGAGCGAAACCCAUAAAACUGUUCUCAGUUCGGACUGCAGUCUGCAACUCGACUGCACGAAGAUGGAAUCGCUAGUAAUCGCGAAUCAGCAUGUCGCGGUGAAUACGUUCUCGGGCCUUGUACACACCGCCCGUCACACCAUGAGAGUCGGUAACACCCGAAGCCGGUGGCCUAACCGCAAGGAAGGAGCUGUCUAAGGUGGGACUGAUGAUUGGGGUG
rnacentral:rRNA from 1 species